GGCUGCUGAUCUCCUGCGCCCCAGUAGAAGAGACUGCGGCUCCCACCACCCCACCUUCUCCAUCAUCAACACCAUCACCAUCCUCAAGUGCACUACAAAAAUCUCCUCCUCCCACAGCUGUUACUCCAUUGGUAACUGACGACAAUGUCACCACCAUCGACUCCCAGACUGCACCUGUCUCUGUUACUGAAGAUACCACAAGAAGCAACACAAUAGUGGAGCACAUCGUCUCUGAAGACACACCUGAACAGGGGAUGGAGGAAUCCUCAACAGCAACACCAACCACAUAUAUCCAGUCCUUAUCUACCCAACCUGACCCGUCAACUGUUGAUGUCACCACUACAAACUCAGCUCAGUCCACCAGUGAUGCUGAGGUCAGCUCUACUGUUUCUACUCAAUCCACUCAGCACGUGAAAGACAGGAUGGGAGAAAGCAGCAACACCAGCACUGUUGUCGACCCAGCUUCAUCACCAGUGGGCAACUCCUCAAUGAGUUCUUCUUCCAUAUCCCAGUCCAACACAGUCCAGCACUCAUACUCAACUUCAGAAGCUCACCCAACACCUGUGACCCAGACUCCAGCAGCCUACCAUUACAACCAGCACUGCUUGCAGCAGCAUCAACAGCAGUUAUUUGAAUAAGGAGAAAGACAGAUACUCCUCAGGGCUGCUGAUCUCCUGCGCCCCAGUAGAAGAGACUGCAGCUCCCACCACCCCACCUUCUCCAUCAUCAACACCAUCACCAUCCUCAAGUGCACUACAAAAAUCUCCUCCUCCCACAGCUGUUACUCCAUUGGUAACUGACGACAAUGUCACCACCAUCGACUCCCAGACUGCACCUGUCUCUGUUACUGAAGAUACCACAAGAAGCAACACAAUAGUGGAGCACAUUGUCUCUGAAGACACACCUGAACAGGGGAUGGAGGAAUCCUCAACAGCAACACCAACCACAUAUAUCCAGUCCUUAUCUACCCAACCUGACCCGUCAACUGUUGAUGUCACCACUACAAACUCAGCUCAGUCCACCAGUGAUGCUGAGGUCAGCUCUACUGUUUCUACUCAAUCCACUCAGCACGUGAAAGACAGGAUGGGAGAAAGCAGCAACACCAGCACUGUUGUCGACCCAGCUUCAUCACCAGUGGGCAACUCCUCAAUGAGUUCUUCUUCCAUAUCCCAGUCCAACACAGUCCAGCACUCAUACUCAACUUCAGAAGCUCACCCAACACCUGUGACCCAGACUCCAGCAGCCACCAUUACAACCAGCACUGCUUGCAGCAGCAUCAACAGCAGUUCUUUGAAUAAGGAGAAAGACAGAUACUCCUCAGGGCUGCUGAUCUCCUGCGCCCCAGUAGAAGAGACUGCAGCUCCCACCACCCCACCUUCUCCAUCAUCAACACCAUCACCAUCCUCAAGUGCACUACAAAAAUCUCCUCCUCCCACAGCUGUUACUCCAUUGGUAACUGACGACAAUGUCACCACCAUCGACUCCCAGACUGCACCUGUCUCUGUUACUGAAGAUACCACAAGAAGCAACACAAUAGUGGAGCACAUUGUCUCUGAAGACACACCUGAACAGGGGAUGGAGGAAUCCUCAACAGCAACACCAACCACAUAUAUCCAGUCCUUAUCUACCCAACCUGACCCGUCAACUGUUGAUGUCACCACUACAAACUCAGCUCAGUCCACCAGUGAUGCUGAGGUCAGCUCUACUGUUUCUACUCAAUCCACUCAGCACGUGAAAGACAGGAUGGGAGAAAGCAGCAACACCAGCACUGUUGUCGACCCAGCUUCAUCACCAGUGGGCAACUCCUCAAUGAGUUCUUCUUCCAUAUCCCAGUCCAACACAGUCCAGCACUCAUACUCAACUUCAGAAGCUCACCCAACACCUGUGACCCAGACUCCAGCAGCCACCAUUACAACCAGCACUGCUUGCAGCAGCAUCAACAGCAGUUCUUUGAAUAAGGAGAAAGACAGAUACUCCUCAGGGCUGCUGAUCUCCUGCGCCCCAGUAGAAGAGACUGCAGCUCCCACCACCCCACCUUCUCCAUCAUCAACACCAUCACCAUCCUCAAGUGCACUACAAAAAUCUCCUCCUCCCACAGCUGUUACUCCAUUGGUAACUGACGACAAUGUCACCACCAUCGACUCCCAGACUGCACCUGUCUCUGUUACUGAAGAUACCACAAGAAGCAACACAAUAGUGGAGCACAUUGUCUCUGAAGACACACCUGAACAGGGGAUGGAGGAAUCCUCAACAGCAACACCAACCACAUAUAUCCAGUCCUUAUCUACCCAACCUGACCCGUCAACUGUUGAUGUCACCACUACAAACUCAGCUCAGUCCACCAGUGAUGCUGAGGUCAGCUCUACUGUUUCUACUCAAUCCACUCAGCACGUGAAAGACAGGAUGGGAGAAAGCAGCAACACCAGCACUGUUGUCGACCCAGCUUCAUCACCAGUGGGCAACUCCUCAAUGAGUUCUUCUUCCAUAUCCCAGUCCAACACAGUCCAGCACUCAUACUCAACUUCAGAAGCUCACCCAACACCUGUGACCCAGACUCCAGCAGCCACCAUUACAACCAGCACUGCUUGCAGCAGCAUCAACAGCAGUUCUUUGAAUAAGGAGAAAGACAGAUACUCCUCAGGUCUAUUGUUGUGCGUUGUAGCAACAGCACAACUCUCUCAAACAGCUGCACUGAACCCUACCAUCAACUCAACUUCAAAUUCAACUUUCUCCCCAACGACAGCCAGCACUAAAGAAAACCUCACUGCAGACUUGACAUCAAAACCCACGUCUUCCUCAAUACCAUCUACAUCAGCUGACCCCCAGGACUCUAGCCCCAGCAUCAGCAGCCCCACUACCAACAUCAGCAGCCCCACUACCAGCAUCAGCAGCCCCACUACCAGCAUCAGCAGCCCCACUACCACCAUCAGCAGCCCCACUACCAGCAUCAGCAUCCCCAGCACUACACAAACAACCACCACCCAAACCACCAGCACAACCAGUAAUAACAGCACCAUCAUCUGGCCGAGCACCAUCCCAGGCACCAAACAAACCACCAAUAUACCGAGUACCAACAGAACCACCAUCAGCACCGACACCCAAACCAGCACACUGGCACAGGAAGCACACGAGUCCAAGGCUCUGAACUCAGGAAGCAUUGCAGUCAUUCUCUGUGUGUCCAUUGUAAUUGUCACCCUAGUGGUGAUUGUGCUGUACUACAGGGUCCGACGUAGAUCCUACGGCCAACUGGCCAAGAAUGAACAUGGUACUUUGACAAACUUCAGCAACCCUAUGUAUGACGUUUGAAUCUUAAGUUCUGACCUCCGACUCCGGAAGGGACCCCCUAACCUCAAAGUCCUCUGUCUGUUCAGAGUGUAUUUAUAGUGUGUGUAUUGAGUUCAGGAUGGUCACAAUAUAUAUAUAGCUGACAUGCUGCCUGGUCGCUUGAUUGCAAAAUGCAUAAAGAAAACUAAUUUGGACAUUUCUAUUGAUCUUUGUUGAAAUAGCUUAAUUUGUUUGUUGCUUGGUACAGUAAGAAGGACAUACAAUUGCAGAUUUUACUAAGGAAGUUUUUCAAACAGCGCUGGCUGCAUAUUCACGGCGCAUAAUCAUAUUACCACAACUGAAUACAAGCGUGUUCAUUGGCGGUGUUAUGUAGGAUUCUCAGGAUACUUGUAAAAGAAAAAGGUUUUGUCUGACAUCAAGGAAUAGAAAAACAAGUGGAUUUUGUAAACUCAACCGGGAUGUUUUUAAAGUAAAAAGAAAUACUCUAUGCAAGUGUAAAAUAAUAGCUUAAGGCAGUAUUAAGUAGUGAUAAUAGAUGAGGAAGAUCUGACAGUGACAAUUGUUCACUGUCAGGGAACAGAAAUAGAAACAUAGUAUUAUUACAAAAAAACAGGGCCACCACAAUGUGUGAUUUACGAAGUUAAGAAAGGCUCGGACUUCUGCGAGAAUAUGAAUGAAGUCAUGACAUACAAUGUUUAUUUUAUCAUAGAUUGUUCUUAUAAGCACCUACUGAGAUACUUUGUUCUUACCUAAACUGUGAAAGGAUGAGAUUUCCAUUGCAAAAGGCAAUAAAUGUUCAGAUUGUCAUAUAGACAUAGUUCAAAGCUUUUAUAUACACUUUCAGAUUCUGUAGAUUAGGAGGAGAGGAAGAUUUAGCCAUUUCUAUUCGGAGGAAAUGGUUAUUCUGAGAAAGGCGCUGAAAAGGAUGGUGACACAUAACUGUCUUAACAUCGAGGAUGAAAAUAAGAAUAGAAUAGAAAGACAUUCUUAAGACGAAUGAAAAAAAAGAAAGGAAAUGAAGAAAAAACCACCUGAUGGCAUCGUAUCAUCAGGUAUCGUAUCCUAUCACGACACUUUUAGGCAACACAAAGGGUUAGCGUUAGCAGCUACGUGACAAUUUAGGAGAAGGUUCAUUUGAGGGAAAUGUUUGAGGUUUCAUUCAUUCAUUUUCAAAUGACAUGUGUAAAAGCCUGGUUUUCCAUCUAAGUAUUUACAUAACAUGCAGUCCUUUAAAAUUAAUAUGGAUUGUUUUCAUAUUACAAAGUGAAUGGAGCAGAGGCAGAGAGAAACCUUUGAAAGGACAAUCCCAGGUUCAAGCCCCUUGUACUCAUCCUGCUGAAGUGUCCUUGAGCAAAACAGUGAAUCCCCUCCAGCUGUUCAGCUGAACCUGAACUUUGACUUUUCUGUGGAGGAACCAACAAAUACAUCAAUCAUGUUAGAAUGGAGAGCAGGAUCUAAUAUAAAUCUGAAUUUACAUUAAAUGUGGCCUUAAUAUGUUUCAGUGUGAUUUUGCUUUUUUUUUAGCAGCUUAGGCAAGUUGCAUUUGUGAUAUCUUGAAUAUUUGAUACAUAUUUGUUAUUGUUUGCAGGUGAAAAAUAAUGUGACAUUGUAUUGUGUAAUAUGAUUGUAUUUAAUUGUGUGUGCAAUAAAGUGAUAAAGGAA
ensembl:lncRNA flocculation protein FLO11-like